rnacentral:rRNA from 1 species
GACGAACGCUGGCGGCGUGCUUAACACAUGCAAGUCGAACGGAAAGGCCUGCUUUCCCUUGUGGAUUGCGGGUACUCGAGUGGCGAACGGGUGAGUAACACGUGAGUGAUCUGCCCCCAACUUGGGUAUAAGCCUGGGAAACUGGGUCUAAUUCCCGAUAGGACUGCAGGGUGGUGCCUGUGGUGGAAAACGAUUUUCUAGUGGUUGGGGGUGAGCGCGCGGCCUAUCAGCUUGUUGGUGGGGUAAUGGCCUACCAAGGCGGCGACGGGUAGCCGGCCUGAGAGGGUGGACGGCCACAUUGGGACUGAGAUACGGCCCAGACUCCUACGGGAGGCAGCAGUGGGGAAUAUUGCACAAUGGGCGGAAGCCUGAUGCAGCGACGCCGCGUGGGGGAUGACGGCCUUCGGGUUGUAAACUCCUUUCGACCGCGAGGAAGCCACCUGGUUGGAAGGGUGGUGACGGUAGUGGUAGAAGAAGCACCGGCUAACUACGUG